GUCAGGCACCGGGUCCCCCGGACCGCUGGAGCGCGUGGGGGAGCGAAGCGGGGUCCCCGCCCGGGUGGCCGUUCCACGCCGAGCCCACCAGGUCUCCGCGGGGUUGGUGCACCCGGCCGAGGCGCGGAAAGAUGGGGCAUGUCCAGCCAAGAAUGUGGGGCGAGGAGGAGUUACACAUUUCACCCUUGGGACCUGAGAGCCCAGUCUGCACUCCUGCAUUUCUAGGCAAAACCUUUGUAAAAUGGAUACUUAGCACCUGUGAAACUUGCCGUGGGUUCCAUAUAGGUAAUUUUGCUAAUGUGUGUGGGCUUCUACCAGUUUAUUUUCUUGUGAGGCCAUUCUGAUUAGUCAGUGGAGAGAUGAGCCGUGUUAGAAGUCCUAUUUGGAAGUAUGAUCUUAACAAUUCUGUAAGGUAAAUCACCAAAUAUGUAAUGACUGAACUGAAUAUUGCACUGAGAUAAGGCUCCCAGCUUUGUAGGCCUAACAAGGUUCUUGAGUGUCAACAGGCAUUCAGAUGGAUUGACUGCUUUUAGUUGAGGUUAGUCAAUGACAUAGCAUAAGAAGUGUCCGUGUUGCUCUGCAAGAAAGAGGGCACUUUUCAGUUCAGAUUUCAAGUAAGAGUAGAUAAUAAUAAUAAUGUUAACAUUUAUGACUUACCAUGUGAUAACCAUAGUGUUCUAUAUACCGAUUAUAUACCACAUAUACACGCACAUAUAUACAUACAUAUGCCUUAUAAUGUUUAUACAGUGCUUUACAUACUUUAUUGCUUUUCUUUCCCCUACCAAUUUUAUGACAUAUUUUUCCAUUCAACAAAUAUCUGAGGAGCUGGGCCAAUGCAAGUAGCUGGGAAAGGAAUGGUUAACUAAAUCAGGCACAGCAUCUGCUCUUGUGGAACUUACAUUGAUGGGAAGAGAUAAGCUGAUCAAUGAAUCAUCCCCAGACUCCAAAUGUUACCUACUAUUCUGCAGUAUUCUGAAGCAAAGGAACAAAUUUAAGAGAAAUUUUAAAACAAAGAAAUCUGACUUAGACUGGGUGUGGUUAGUGGGUGAGGUGGUGCAGGGAAGUAACCUUUAAACUAAGGGAAAUGUUAUUUUGUUUGGUAUCCACCCCUCUUUCUUUUUUAACAG